AUGGGAAUAGUGUGUUCCAACUUCCAACAUCUACUGUCAUAAACUUCCUGUUGGUGAUGCUUCCUCCAUCUCAUAGCUACAAGUAAAAUGUUUGUUUUAUAACCUAUUUAUUUAGUUAAUUAAUUGAGGUCCUAACUGCUGAGUUUACCAAGACAAUUUGGACUUUGAAAGUAAUUAGACUCUAGGCUUGUAGUGAUUAUUGAUGGCAAAACUUUCUGAACAUGAUAAUUUAAAAUUUAAAUGGGAAGUUGUUUCAGUUGGAGAAGGAAAAAACUCGGUAGCUGAAAAUUCAACAAAAAGCCAUUCAUCUUAGGUAGUUGAGCAUAUCAGAUAAGAAGAUAAUUUUUUAUUUUUCUUAAAGGAGCACAAUAAAGAAAUGCCUUUGGCCGACAAGUUCAUAUUAUGAAGUUUAAGACUCUUUUUUAAUCAAUUGAUUUGACCGUGGUAUUUGUGUUCUAUUUGUAUUGAGCAUACUAGUUUAUAUGGCUUAUUGACUUGAACAGGGAUUGCAGCAGACUGACAAAA
rnacentral:misc_RNA from 1 species